rnacentral:rRNA from 1 species
AGAGAGAGACAUGCGCGCAUAUCAAUAAGCGGAGGAAAAGAAACUAACAAGGAUUCCCCUAGUAACGGCGAGUGAAGCGGGAAGAGCUCAAAUUUGAAAUCUUAAAGGGUUUCCCUUUACGAAUUGUAGUUUAAAGAAGUGUUUUCUGUUGAGGUUUUGGUAAAAGUUCUUUGGAAUAGGACAUCAUAGAGGGUGAGAAUCCCGUAUUUGACCAUUAUUUCCAGCUUUGUGAUACACUUUCAAAGAGUCGGAUUGUUUGGGAAUGCAGUCCAAAAUGGGUGGUAAAUUUCAUCUAAAGCUAAAUAUUGGCGAGAGACCGAUAGCGAACAAGUACCGUGAGGGAAAGAUGAAAAGAACUUUGAAAAGAGAGUUAAACAGUACGUGAAAUUGUCAAAAGGGAAGCGUUUGACACCGGUGUUGUUUUCUCGAAAAUCAAUUAAAAAAGGCAGGAUUUUGUGUUGUAUUGACUUUAUCAGCUUUCUGCACUCUUUUCUUGUCUUUUUUAAUGCACUUUUCAGUUUAACAAGUCAACAUCAAUUUCUUUUGUUGUAAAAGGGUCAUUGGAAGGUGGCUUUCUAUUUUCGGAGAAAGUGUUUAUAGCCUUUGGCCUCUGCAAUCGGAGAGAUUGAGGUCUGCAGCGUAGAUCCUUCGGGGUUAGAUGACAUUUGUGCUAAGUUAUAGCCUUUCAUAGACAACUUGUUGACUAUGAUCAGUCAUGUAGCUUACUCGCUUAUGCUAUUUUACCUACGCUUAGGAUGUUGAUGUGAUACUGCGAGCA